AGAUUGAACGCUGGCGGCAUGCUUUACACAUGCAAGUCGAACGGUAACAGGCCGCAAGGUGCUGACGAGUGGCGAACGGGUGAGUAAUGCAUCGGAACGUGCCCAGUCGUGGGGGAUAACGCAGCGAAAGCUGUGCUAAUACCGCAUACGAUCUAUGGAUGAAAGCGGGGGACCGAAAGGCCUCGCGCGAUUGGAGCGGCCGAUGUCAGAUUAGCUAGUUGGUGGGGUAAAGGCCCACCGAAGGCGACGAUCUGUAGCUGGUCUGAGAGGACGACCAGCCACACUGGAACUGAGACACGGUCCAGACUCCUACGGGAGGCAGCGAGGUGGGGAAUUUUUAGGGACAAGUGGGACGCAAGCCUAGAUCCAGCAAUGACCGCGUGCCAAGGAAGAAGGCCCUUUCGGGUUAGUAAACGUGUACGUUUUUU
rnacentral:rRNA from 1 species